rnacentral:rRNA from 1 species
CUUGCCAGGGAACUACGAGCCCCAGCUUAAAACCCAAAGGACUUGGCGGUGCUUUAGACCCCCCUAGAGGAGCCUGUUCUAGAACCGAUAACCCCCGUUUAACCUCACCCCCUCUUGUUUUCCCCGCCUAUAUACCGCCGUCGUCAGCUUACCCUGUGAAGGACUAAUAGUGAGCAUAAAUGGUACAACCUAAAACGUCAGGUCGAGGUGUAGCGUAUGAGGGGGAAAGAAAUGGGCUACAUUCACUGGACCAGUGAAAACGAACGAUGCCUUGAAAUGUGCAUCUGAAGGAGGAUUUAGCAGUAAGAGGGCACUAGAGAGCCCCCCUGAAACCGGCCCUGAAGCGCGCACACACCGCCCGUCACUCUCCCCAAGUGCCAGAAAAUAAGUAAAUAAGACAAUAAAUAAACAAAGGGGAGGCAAGUCGUAACAUGGUAAGUGUACCGGAAGGUGCACUUGGACAAAU